UACGGUGUUCAGGAUGUUAAAUAACUAAUAGGAUUUUCGAGUUCAUUAAACGGCAUUAUACUUAAAAUUCACGAAAGAUCGACUGCUCUAAUCGAAAUAUCUGUGUCCCGAUUUGUCUGUAACUAUUUCAACAUCCGGUUAUCAACUCCAUCGCUUGGUUUGGGCUAGUGUUGCUAAGUUUGUGUUUCUUCUGUCCAUUUUCAAAGGUAAUUCCAUUGACUGCAAAUCAGUUUCAUUUUAAAUUUAUACGUCUAUAUAUUCUUUAAUAACUUCCAAGUGAAAAGCUAGGUAAUGAAAAAAACCCAACAUUUAUUCUUGGACCGAAUUUUCUCGAAAUAGUGAGACCAUAGAUUUAAACUGUUUUAAUAUGCUAUGAUGUUUAACAGAAGUUUAAACAUUAUAUGUAAUCUUUGUGAUUGCAUAAACCGAAAAUUUAUCCCUUUAUUAGUGGAUCAUAUAACAUUGGUACAUACAACACAGUUCAGUAUUGAUAAAUAUUUACAACCUGUCAGAUUUUAAAGAGUUUUAUAAUAAGCAGAGCAAUACUUAUUUUGAAUUAGUUAUAACUUUUAAACAUAAUUUACAUAGUUUUCAUGACAUAUUUUUAGGCAAAUUAAAGGAUGACAGAGCAUACCUCUGAUGCUGACACUUUUCAUUUGAAAAAAAAGCAUUUUUGGAAGACAUUACCAACAUCUGUGGAUUAUAAUUCAAAGCAAGAGAAAAUCUAGAGUCAUUAAACUAAUGCAAACAUGAAUAAAUCAGUCUCGAGUAACUUAUCAUUGAGAAUCUGAUUUAUUUGCUUGGAUUGGUUUAGUUAACGUCACCCCAUACUGUCUGCACUAGUUUUUCAAUACAGACGCAUUUUGCCGAAAAACGAAUCUGACUUCAAACCACGAAAUUUUAACAGGAAAGAGACAAUUUGAUGAGCUUUCAUUCAAGAGGUCCCUCGUUGCUGAACAAAAAUUAGGGCCGGAGCUAUGAACCCUAACGUUAACAUUACCGCCUAUGGCAAAUGCAUUAGUGGACUAUACCCAUAUUGAGCUCCAUGCUGAUAACAUGUAAAUUGAAAUGGAACUUCUUCACAGAAAAAAACACAACAAUGAGCCACACUUGAUAGUUUUUCAAUACAGAUGCAUUUUGCCGAAAAACGAAUCUGACUUCAAACCACGAAAUUUUAACAGGAAAGAGACAAUUUGAUGAGCUUUCAUUCAAGAGGUCCCUCGUUGCUGAACGAAAAUUAGGGCCGGAGCUAUGAACCCUAACGUUAACAUUACCGCCUAUGGAAAAUGCAUAAGUGGACUAU